GCUCUGGGUCCUCGAUGGCUCAGAUGGAUAGAGCGUCUGCCAUGCAAGCAGGAGAUCCUGGGUUCGAGUCCCAGCCAGGGCA